rnacentral:rRNA from 1 species
GAAAAUGAGAGUUUGAUCCUGGCUCAGGACGAACGCUGGCGGCGUGCCUAAUACAUGCAAGUCGAGCGAGCUUGCCUA